CUUUUUUCUUCUAUUCCGAAUAGGAGAGCAAUGAGUACAGGGAGUUCAAAGACAAAGACUAUAGAGAGAUAUACGACUAUCAGGUUCUGUUCGACGAUGCAUUUGACAAUGAAAAAUAUGCGAUGAUGUCGACGAAGCUGUGCAGGACCAACUUCACCGUGUUUGAAGAUAGUGCAAAUGACAAUCCGCGGAACGCAACGUCGAUAUAUGAGGAGAACAGUGGCUCUAGUGAUGAGAAAGACAAAUUAGACAAAUCUGCAUCAAGCAUGGACACCCAGCCAUAGGAGUGGAGAGAAACAUAGACCCGCCUAAAGUAAAAAUAAGGAGAAGAGAACUAAAAUAUCAGCAAGGGAUUUGUCGUACUCAGUUGAUCGAGCCAUGACUGCAAGUGAGAAAAUAGCAACAACACUUGACAACUUAGUCAGAUCCAAUGUGUCGGACAUGAAGACAUUCAUGAAGGAGUUGUUCGCGACAGGCAGACUGCAUAAAAAAUUGACCCCUACUUUAAGACGUGCAUGUUUCUAUCUUUAAAGAGAAAUAGGGAGGCUCUGGAGAUGAUGCGAAUGAAAAGAUGGAUUGGUUGGAGUGGAAUUGGCAAGAGCACAGGAAAGCGCGACCGUAGUGAAGACUGUGUAUGGGGUAGAAUAAAUUUUCCCCACAGCGGAGGAUCUCCACAAAAAUUAUUGUUGGGCUUUUUUCUUUUUCCGUUUCUCGGUAUGUGGUUUGUUAACCUUACAAUUUCGAGUUGUGUACUUUUUAAGAUUUUAUGUAUCCAUAUAUGUACCACCAACUACUGUGAUUUCAUGUCUAUGUAUACCCACUUGUUCCUUGGACUUAUUCAACAUUUGCCAUGAAUAAUUGUGAAUAUCUGACACCCCCAUCUACGGAAUUGCCAUCAAGAGUUGGGAGAAUCUCUUCAAA
rnacentral:lncRNA from 1 species